GACGAACGCUGGCGGCGCGCCUAACACAUGCAAGUCGAACGGUGACGAGAGCUUCGGCUCUCUGAUCAGUGGCGGACGGGUGAGUAACACGUGAGCAACCUGCCUAUCAGUGGGGGACAACAGUUGGAAACGACUGCUAAUACCGCAUAACACUUUAGUACCGCAUGGUACAGAAGUCAAAGCUUAAUGUGCUGAGAGAUGGUCUCGCGUCUGAUUAGCUAGAUGGCGGGGUAACGGCCCACCAUGGCGACGAUCAGUAGCCGGUCUGAGAGGAUGAACGGCCACAUUGGGACUGAGAUACGGCCCAGACUCCUACGGGAGGCAGCAGUGGGGAAUAUUGGGCAAUGGGGGAAACCCUGACCCAGCAACGCCGCGUGAAGGAAGAAGGCCUUCGGGUUGUAAACUUCUUUACCAGGGACGAAGGACGUGACAGUACCUGGAGAAAAAGCAACGGCUAACUACGUG
rnacentral:rRNA from 1 species